AGGGUUUUCUCAAUGACUCCAGAGAGCUACUUGCAAGAAGGAAGCUGACAACACACCCAGGAGACCAGUAGAUUCUGUCCCAGGCUGUCUGUUUUCAGGUCUGGAACUAGAAAUCUAAGGAUGUGAAGACAUGGAUGUGAGUUUGGAGUAAUACCAGAGUCCUACCUUUGGCCAACUUUCUCCCUGGACUUCAAGACUGUUC